GAGUGAAUGUGAAGGACUGGGAUAUUAUUGUCCACUACUGUAGACUUUAUAAACACAGUACACUUAGGCUACACUGUUUAUUUUUAAAAUAAAGUAAUUGAGCUACAACAUGACAAUGGCUACAGCGUCACUAGGUGAUAGGAAUUUUUCAGCCCCAUUAUAAUCUUAUGGGACCACCUUCAUACAUACAGUCGGUUUUUGACUGAAACAUCAUUACAUUCAGCACGUGAAUGUAAUUGCGAUGAAGUGAAAGAUAAAGGUUAUAGUUCUAGUGUAUCCACAGUGCUUUAGGAGAUGAACUGUUAGGGAAAGCCAGAAAAAUCUCCACCACGGAAAAAAUAUUUGGCCUGCGUCUUGAAGGAUAAAUAGGAAGUCAGUACUCAGACAGGUGCCAGUGUUUUUCAGCCUGAGGCAGGGAGGUAUGAGAGACAGCUGGAAGGGUUUGAGAAUGGGUGGUGAGAACUUACACUUACUGGGGACUGGAUAUAAGAAUGCAGUAAGACGUGGACCUAGCACCGUGAUUUUUCGACCUGGGCUACACAUCAGAAACACCUAGCGAGCUUUUAAAUCUUCCAGGGCCCAAACCACAUUGUGAACCAAUUAAAUCAGGACGUCUGGGGCUAGAAGCCAGUCAUCAGUAUCUUUUUUUAAGCUCCCAAAGUGAUUCCAAUGUGCUGCCAAGUCUCAGAACCACUAGUCUAGAAAGGAGGGAUAAGGAUUUUCAGCAGCCCCCACAGAACCGGCCCUCCUGGUGACCCUGCAAUCCUGGCACACACACCCCACCCCGCCUGGGAGAAAGACCGGCCACACCACAGUCAUCGGCUGUUUCCUGCUGCUCCUUUCCUCCCACCAGCAUUUUACUCUGAAAUAGUGGUUCUCAAAGUGUGGUCUCCAGACUGUAGCAUCAGCCUCAGGGGGAAAUUCUUAAAAAUGCAAAUUUCCCAGCCGCACCCUGGACGCAUUCACCCAAAAACUCUGGGAGUGGAGCCCAGCAACUGAGCCAUGCUAAGGUUGGUGAGCCGCUGCUCUGGAACAUUGAUCCCUCCCAAACUGCAGCAAAGCAAGCACCUGGGUGUAGCUCUGGCUGUGUAGGUGCUACUACAAUCUGCUGGAGUCACUGCUUGUCGGCAGAGAUGCCGUGGGAGCUGGCCUGGGUGCCUCCACGUUGGCCGUCACCACCAGGCAGUGGCCUUUGGCCUGGAAUCGAAGGUACCAGAGGGCUGAUAGCUCAGUUUUUUUAUGGCACCAAGAAAAGACUUUCAGAUUGGAGGCCCCAAUCAGGAUGGAAUUAAAAGACCCUGGGAGGAAAAUAAGGAAAGCAACAAAGGAAAUGAGUUCCCCAUACAGAAAGGGAAAUUGCCUUUCCCGUUAAGGUCAGACUGGUCCGAAGUAAAGGACUGGUGCGCCUUAGCAACCGCCUCUGCUGAAGCCCUAACGCUGGAGCUCUUUCGCCCUCGCAGAAUAACCGGGACUUUCUUGCAGCCGGAACCAGCCACGUCCUGAUUCCACACUCCCUUGAGGAGCCAGCCAGCUCCACAUUUACUCAAAGAAUCCGAAGGGCACCAAGUGGAUGCUCUGCCACACGAUUGAAGAGGGCAAGCUGUCUGGGGGGUUUUCCACCUCUUUUCAACUCAACUAUUCUGAGCUGAAGUACUGGACCCGUUUUGUUUUUCCUGUUUUUUCCUGCUUCGGUAAAUCUGGAAAAAUCCUGCAGGUCUGAAAAACUGUUGGACUUGACAGCGUGUGUGUAGCGCCACCUGGUGACCACAGCUUAUCAAAACAGCUUCCUUCUGGGGCUCUUGUGGAUGUACAUCAAAGGCUCCAGCUUCCAGACAGGUACACAUCCUGUUCUCACGCCCGGCCCACUUUCCCGUGGGAAUGUCAGCCACUCUGAUUUGCCUUGGCUGAAAACCUCCUGUCUUUGCAUGGAAAAAAACACAAAUAAUAUGAACAAGCAACAGAGUUUUCUUUCUCUCUUAAGUAACCAAGCAUUUAAAAUCUUCUAAAGCACACAUUUCCCUAAUUGAGAAAGGAAGCAGAAGAAAAAUUUCUGGCUGAAAUUAUAAAUCAUAAUAAAUGGUCGGAAAUACCUUCUCCCUUAGAUUCCUGGGGUCCUAGUGUAGAGGAGACUUCAGUUGCCCUUGACACUACAACAUCCUGACUAAAAGCCUGUUUCCAAGGUGAUAUUUGAUAGACAUGAAGGACCCAGGUGGAAAAGAAGGUAGUCUGGACGGCACGGCAAGGAGUGGAACACGCAGGCUAUGAGGUGUCAGCAGAAAUCAGUUCUGGUCCUGGCACUGCUACCAACUUGCUGUGUGACCUUGGGAAGUUACUUAAGCUUUGUGGAUCUCAAUGCCCCAGACUCGUUAACUUCUUUACUAUUUUUUCCCAUAAAUUCAGUGUUUCUGAAAGAUGUUGCCCACCAGAAUGCAUCUCUAAAAUAGGAGCUUAAUAAGCUUUCUGUCUUGAGGGAUCAGACGUAUAAAUGUCAGGCAGGCCUUCUGAUGAUCAUGAUGCAACCAGAGUUACCACAGUGAGUCCAUAUCACAGACAAAGGCGAAGACACUUGAUCCCUUCUUAACCUGGUCUCCCACCCAUGAAUGAUUUUUGUUAGGAUUUCAGCAUGUUGAAACUAACCCACAGACCCUAGUUACAACUUUCUCAGGGCCUGAGAGCUGGGGAAUCCCAGUUUGGGAACCAAAAAACUAGAAAAUCUUGAGGGCAACUCUGGCUGUCAUGAACUAAAACAGAGCAAAGAUGGAAGCCUGUGGUAUGUGCGUGCAGGUAGAAUCUCGAUUUGAGAAAUGGCGUUACAAGGAAUUAACACUUCAGAAAUGCCAGCUCUGUGCCAGGAUUUUUUUAUUUUAUUAUGUAUAUUUGUCAUGGACAACAUGUUUUGGAAUAUGUAUACAUUGUGGAAUGGUUAAAUAAAGCUAAUUACAUAUGCAUGUGCUCACAAAGUUAUCAUUUUAGGGGUGACUUAAAAUCUCUCAGUGAUUUUCAAAAAUAUAUGUUAUUAAUCAUAGUUGCAAUGUUGUACAAUAGAUCUCUUGAACAUAUAUUCCUCUUGUCUAACUGAAAUUUUAUGUUCUUUGACCAUCUCCCCAACUGCCCCCCAACAAGCCUGAAAGCCCUGGUAACCCCUAUUCUACUCUCUACUUCUUUGAGUUCAACUUUUUAAGAGUCCACAUAUGAGAUCAUGCAGUAUUUGUCUUUCUGUGCCUGACUUAUUUCACUUAGCACAAUGUCCUUUGGGUUCAUCUAUGUCACAAGCAACAGGAUGUCCUCCUUUUUAAAAGACUGAAUAGUAUUC
rnacentral:lncRNA from 10 species